rnacentral:rRNA from 1 species
UACGGAGGAUGCAAGCGUUGUCCGGAUUUACUGGGCGUAAAGCGCGCGCAGGCGGCACUCUAAGUACGUCGUGAAAUAUCCCGGCUCAACCGGGAGGGUGCGAUGUAGACUAGGGAGCUAGAGGUCGGUAGAGGGGGUGGAAUUGCUGGUGUAGCGGUGAAAUGCGUAGAGAUCAGCAGGAACACCCGUGGCGAAGGCGGCCCCCUGGGCCGUACCUGACGCUGAGACGCGAAAGCGUGGGGAGCGAACAGG